CACCUUUGAUGGGAGAUUUCUUGGAAUUGUAGAUGCAUCUACAUCGAUAUUCAUCACAUAUUCAGAUGUUAUUGAAAUAAUAGCAGGAGACAAAAGUCUGAACAUAUCUGUCAUACAAUUAUGGUUAAUGUAUAUUCAUGAGUGGAGUCAGAUAUUCAGUCAAGGUUUCAUGUAUGCAUUCCUUGAGCCACAGUCGUUGGUUUGUUCAAAGGAUAGACGCAGCGAAUGCGAACAAUAUCUUGAAAGAUGGCUUAAGGAAUCUGACCGAGAGGUGUACAUUGGACCUUACUUCCAUCAGGAACAUUGGCAACUCAUAAUUUUGUGUCCUAGGCAACAUGUUGUUGUUUGGUUCUGUUCUUUGCGUAGGAAACCUGAUAUGCAUAUCAAAGCUACAAUUAAUAGUGUAAUGACAAAAUUGAAGAAGACCUUGUCUCCUGAAACUAAGGCAGUUGCACCAAAGUGGAUUGAAGUAAAGAGUCACGUUCAAACCGGCUGUUAUGAAUGUGGAUAUUACAUAAUGCAUUGGAUCUGGAACAUCAUAGCCAGCGACAUAAAGAGUGAUUGGUCCAUGUGGUUUGCUAAUGACACACCGUUGGACAUCGGCAUCAUCACCACAAUUCGAAAGAAAUGGGCAACAUUUUUUUUAAAGACAGCAAUAAGUCAAAACGGCUAAUGAUGGCGUUGGAGUAUUUUUUUCCCUGUAUUUGAGACAAUUGUUAUGUUAUUUGACACAGCGGCUAUUUUAUUUUCGGUCAUGCUACUAAUAUUCUAUUCUUAGUAUUAUCUUCUCAAUUUCAUAUAAUUGUAGUAAUAUAUUGUCUUUACCCCCUUCUACUGCAUUGCAUCUGCAUUUGAUUACCACAGCAACAAUUUAGUGCAGCUAUAGUACCACCAAGCUUGCCACUGCAGCAGUUAAGUGAACAAAUGAAGUGUCCACAGUCAUUGGAUGGUUGCUUGGUAGAGGUACAUGCUAAUAACUAAUAAGAUUUCCUGUGCAGGGUAUCAUUGUUUUUGCAUGACUGAUGGCUACCUUGGGGCUGGAGAUUUUGGUUGAAUCUGCCUCAAGUGUUAUUUUGAAGAUGAUAUUAUCAUUUGACCUUGCUUUUGCUUGGAUUCCGCUCCUAAAGUUCAGUAGCAGCAAAGUGACUAGCAGCACAAGCAUUGAAGAGAGAUUGCAGGGAUUCCAAGGGAAGGGGACCAGGGGAUGAAAAAUAUGAUUAAAGAGAGUUCUUGAGGAGUUUGUCACAUGCUCAGGGAAGUGGAAGAUUUUGCACGAAGGUUAAAUUCUGCUUGGCCUGAAAGGAUGCAAAUUUGAUCUUUGGCCCAACACAGAAGACUAGUAACAAUUUCUAUGAAUAGCAAUGGUUCAACGCAGUUGUAUAUAGGCAAAAUACUUCAACGACGGUCCUUAUGAAAACCCGUCUUUAUAGCCUUAUUUACCAACAACGACGGGUGCUCCAGCCACCGUCGUUGAAACCUCAAACAACAAUGACGGUGUACACACCACCGACGUUGACAUACUACCAAACAACGUCGGUGGUGAGCCCGCCACCGAUGUUGACAGGAAACAAAACAACGACGGGUCUUGUGAACCCGACGUUGAAAUGGACCAAAACAACGACGGUGGUGCGCCCGCCACCGAUGUUGACAGGAAACAAAACAACGACGGGUCUUGCGAACCCGACGUUGAAAUGGACCAAAACAACGACGGGUUGUCUAAUAUGUGCGUCGUUGAAUCCUUUUUUAUAACGUCUGUUCUUUUAUAGCCACUGACGUUGUAUUCUUGCAUUACAAAGACGGGUCCUAUGAUGACCGAUGUCGUUGUUGUCGACAUACAACGACAUCUGGAACAAAGACGGUGUGGGGCCCGUCGUAGAUACCGGUUUUCAACCGAUGUAGAAGCUUCUU